rnacentral:rRNA from 1 species
GACGAACGCUGGCGGCGUGCCUAAUACAUGCAAGUCGAACGCAGUGGGGACGGGUGAGUAACACGUGGGUAACCUCCCAUCAGAGGGGAUAACACUUGGAAACAGGUGCUAAACCGAUACUGAUGGAUGGACCCGCGGUGCAUUAGCUAGGUGGUGAGGUAACGGCUCAACAAGGCCACGAUGCAUAGCAGACCGUAGAGGUUGGUCGGCCACACUGGGAGGGAGAAGGGCCCCAGAGUCCUGCGGGGUGCAGUAGGAGGGAAGCUUCGGCAAUGGACUAAAGUCUGACCUAGUAACUCCGCGUGAGUGAAGAAGGUUUUCGGAUCGUAAAACUCUGUUUUUAGAGAAGCGGUAUCUAACCAGAAAGCCACGGCUAACUACGUGCCAGCAGCCGCGGUAAUUC